GUGUGUGUAGUGGUAACUCUGGCUGUCUUGGGUAGUGGAAUAGUGUGUGUGUGUAGUGGUAACUCUGGCUGUCUUGGGUAGUGGAAUAGUGUGUGUGUGUAGUGGUAACUCUGGCUGUCUUGGGUAGUGGAAUAGUGUGUGUGUGUAGUGGUAACUCUGGCUGUCUUGGGUAGUGGAAUAGUGUGUGUGUUGGUAACUCUGGUUGUCUUGGGUAAUGGAAUAGUGUGUGUGUGUAGUGGUAACUCUGGCUGUCUUGGGUAGUGGAAUAGUGUGUGUGUGUCGUGGUAACUCUGGCUGUCUUGGGUAGAUGGAAUAGUGUGUGUGUGUCGUGGUAACUCUGGCUGUCUUGGGUAGUGGAAUAGUGUGUGUGUGUGUCGUGGUAACUCUGGCUGUCUUGGGUAGUGGAAUAGUGUGUGUGUGUCGUGGUAACUCUGGCUGUCUUGGGUAGUGGAAUAGUGUGUGUGUGUCGUGGUAACUCUGGCUGUCUUGGGUAGUGGAAUAGUGUGUGUGUGUCGUGGUAACUCUGGCUGUCUUGGGUAGAUGGAAUAGUGUGUGUGUGUCGUGGUAACUCUGGCUGUCUUGGGUAGUGGAAUAGUGUGUGUGUGUCGUGGUAACUCUGGCUGUCUUGGGUAGUGGAAUAGUGUGUGUGUGUGUCGUGGUAACUCUGGCUGUCUUGGGUAGAUGGAAUAGUUGUCUUGUUGCUGGUCAUUGUGUUUUUCUGUUUGUCAUCCAUGCGUGGCAGAGUCAGGGACAGCACAUGUCCUAGUCAUGGAAGUGUGGU